rnacentral:tRNA from 1 species
CAGAGCGUAGCUUAGAUGGCUAAAGCAUCAGGUCGGGGAUCUGAAGAUCGCGAGUUCAAGUCUCGCCGCUCUGA